CAGGUACAGAUGGAUGCUACCGGGCGACCGGAUGCGGAUCUCGAAAGCCUGUCCCAGUUCGGACUGGAGUCUGCAACCCGACUCCACGAAGUUGGAUUCGCUAGUAAUCGCGCAUCAGCCAUGGCGCGGUGAAUACGUUCCCGGGCCUUGUACACACCGCCCGUCAAGCCAUGGGAGCCGGGGGCGCCUGAAGUCCGGGACCGCGAGGACCGGCCUAGGGCGAAACUGGUAACUGGGGCUAAGUCGUAACAAGGUAUC
rnacentral:rRNA from 1 species